AGUGAACGCUGGCGGUAGGCCUAACACAUGCAAGUCGAACGGCAGCACAGUAAGAGCUUGCUCUUACGGGUGGCGAGUGGCGGACGGGUGAGGAAUACAUCGGAAUCUACUUUUUCGUGGGGGAUAACGUAGGGAAACUUACGCUAAUACCUCAUACGACCUACGGGUGAAAGCAGGGGAUCUUCGGACCUUGCGCGAUUGAAUGAGCCGAUGUCGGAUUAGCUAGUUGGCGGGGUAAAGGCCCACCAAGGCGACGAUCCGUAGCUGGUCUGAGAGGAUGAUCAGCCACACUGGAACUGAGACACGGUCCAGACUCCUACGGGAGGCAGCAGUGGGGAAUAUUGGACAAUGGGCGCAAGCCUGAUCCAGCCAUACCGCGUGGGUGAAGAAGGCCUUCGGGUUGUAAAGCCCUUUUGUUGGGAAAGAAAAGCAGCAGGUUAAUACCCCGCUGUUCUGACGGUACCCAAAGAAUAAGCACCGGCUAACUUCGU
rnacentral:rRNA from 1 species